GCUCUAAAUGCUUUGGUUUUUAAGUUAUAAGCCCAAAACUACAUUUUACCCCUAUGUUCUAUUUUUAGCCAUGGCGGCCAUCUUGGUUGGUUGGCCGGGUCACUGGACACAAUUUUUAAACUAAAUACCCCAAUGAUGAUUGUGGCCAAGUUUGAUUUUAUUUGGCCCAGUGGUUUCAGAGGAGAAGUUUUUUGUAAAAGAUAACUAAGAUUUACGAAAAAUGGUUAAAAAUUUACUAUAAAGGGCAAUAACUCCUAAAGGGGUCAACUGACUAUUUUGGACCUGUUGACUUAUUUGUAAAUCUUACUUUGC
rnacentral:lncRNA from 1 species